CAGUCGCCACGGUAAAACGUAGGGUGCAAGCGUUAUUCGGAAUUACUGGGCUUAAAGCGCGUGUAGGCGGAUCGCCACGUCGGUCGCUGAAAUCCCCCGGCUCAACCGGGGAACGGGCGCCGAUACGGGCGGUCUCGAGGGGGGUAGGGGGGACUGGAACUUCCGGUGGAGCGGUGAAAUGCGUUGAGAUCGGAAGGAACGCCCGUGGCGAAAGCGAGUCCCUGGACCCUUUCUGACGCUGAGACGCGAAAGCCAGGGGAGCGAACGGGAUUAGAUACCCCUGUAGUCCCUGUCUCUUAUU
rnacentral:rRNA from 1 species